CCCUCUCUCAACUUCUAACUCCCAAAUCUAUAAACCAGUUGUCUACAGCUAAGGCAGGGGGGUGGCCUGGUUUCCCUUGAGGUCCCAGCUCACUGUCACUGGAGCCACCCUGGCCUGAUGUUGCUAUGAGAAGACAGGUUGAACAAGACAUGAGGAGCAAGCCAGUAAGCAGAACUCUUUCAUGGCCUCUGCAUCAGUUCCUGCCUCCAGUUCCCACCUUGAAUUUCUGCUUUAACUUCUCUAGAUGAUGGACUACAAGUUGUAAAAUGAAAUAAACCCUUUCUCCCCAGG